AUACGUAGGGUGCGAGCGUUGUCCGGAAUUACUGGGCGUAAAGAGCUCGUAGGUGGUUUGUCGCGUCGUCUGUGAAAUUCCGGGGCUUAACUCCGGGCGUGCAGGCGAUACGGGCAUAACUUGAGUACUGCAGGGGAGACUGGAAUUCCUGGUGUAGCGGUGAAAUGCGCAGAUAUCAGGAGGAACACCGGUGGCGAAGGCGGGUCUCUGGGCAGUAACUGACGCUGAGGAGCGAAAGCAUGGGUAGCGAACAGGAUUAGAUACCCUGGUAGUCCAUGCCGUAAACGGUGGGCGCUAGGUGUAGGGGUCUUCCACGACUUCUGUGCCGUAGCUAACGCAUUAAGCGCCCCGCCUGGGGAGUACGGCCGCAAGGCUAAAACUCAAAGGAAUUGACGGGG
rnacentral:rRNA from 1 species